ACUAAUACAAACACCGUUAACUAUUUUUCUCUCUCUUUUUAGUUUUCUGUGCAACGCAGGUUAUUACAGCUUUUUGUCAGGUUUUUCUCUAUCUUCUACUUUUCUUCUUCUCUCUCUCUUUUACUUUUCUUCUACUCUAAAAAAUACUUUUCUUCUGUCUCUUUCCUCCUUCUCCUCCUACCCAGAAACGCAACUUUCUUCAAUCCACAUUCACGGUAUUAUAUUAAAACUAUAUUAUGUUGAAGAAAUAUAAAAUUAUAUUAUAUUAAAACUUACGGUAUUAAUAAAGUUAGUUAUAUAUAUAUAUAUAUAUAGGUAUAUUAAGAACGUGAGGUCCCGGUAAAGAAAAGAAUGGGUGGAUAAUUGAUGAAUGAGAAGAAAAUGUGAGUUGCAGCAAAGAACACGUGAAAUAGAAGAGUGGAGAAUUGGUUGAGAAUGUAAUGAAUGAUGCGGGUUGUGUUUGUCUCGGAUUGGGAGCGUGAAGUUUGGGUAUGAAUGAAAGAAUGAGCUUGGUGUGAAAGGUUGUAUUAUAAGUGUUUAGGUAUUGUAUGGAAAGGGAUAUGAUGCAUGGUGCAGGAGCUGUUGGACCUCGGGAUGGUGGAUAGAAGUUCAGGUUAAGUAUAAGGUGGAAGAGUAGAUGUGAAUCUAAAGGAGAAGAGAGUUGAAAGUGUUUUGAGGGAGUGUAGAUAAGUUGGUAGAAGUGAGUGUUUCAACCCUUUAUCUACCUAAAAGAAGAAGAAAGAAUAGCUUGUAAGAGAAAGGAAGUGUGCGUUAUGAAUAUUUGUAAAGAAUAAGAAAGAGAAAAGCAGUAUGAUGUUUAAGAAGAAAAGGAAUGGAGUGAGGAGGGGAACGUGAACUCUGUAGAAAGAUGAUGCUCAGUGUAAGAAGAAGAAGAAAAUAUAUUAUUUUUGUUUAUUUUUAUUGUGUACAAAAUUAUCGUUUUAUGAUUAACAAUUCAAUAACUACGUUUUUAAUUUAAUCCUGCAAAUAUGACAUGACGUGAUAUGCAAUGAGCCAUCAAUAUUAUGCAU
rnacentral:lncRNA from 1 species